rnacentral:rRNA from 1 species
UACGGGGGGGGCAAGCGUUGUUCGGAAUUACUGGGCGUAAAGGGCUCGUAGGCGGCCAACUAAGUCCGACGUGAAAUCCCCAGGCUUAACCUGGGAACUGCGUCGGAUACUGGAUGGCUUGAAUUCGGGAGAGGGAUGCAGAAUUCCAGGUGUAGCGGUGAAAUGCGUAGAUAUCUGGAGGAAUACCGGUGGCGAAGGCGGCAUCUUGGACCGACAUUGACGCUGAUGAGCGAAAGCUAGGGGAGCAAACGGG